GGUCGGACGGCAACGUCGUCUCCCUGGCCAAAAGAGGUCGCGGCAGGACGCCACAAAUGGUGUACUAUUGGUCCGAAAUCAACGUCGUCUCCCCGUCCAAAAUUUGUCGGUGCUGGACGGCACAAAUGCACAACAUGUCCUAAAAUGCAUUUAUGUAGUCCUUGUGAAAUAUGCAAAUGCUGUGCGUACACCUUGGUUAAUACUGCAAUAAUUAAUUUAAGUGAACAAAGUAUAUUUUUAAGAGGUUAUGAAUAGACGUCCACUCGCGUCUUUUACACGUCUAGACUAGACUCGUAGGAAAAAAAACAUAAUAAUCUUUAUGAAAUACACGAUUUGUAUGCAAAGUAAAUAUAUUAACUUUAUCUUGUUUAAAUAAAUUAUAAUCACAAAGUGCCCAGUGUGAUUGCAAAGCAACACUGCAUUUUAGUCAUUAUUUCACCUGUUUUAUUAUUGAAUGUAUGCAUAUAAAUGUAAAACAGAUACAUAUCCGGUCACCAUUUAGGUGUGAGUUGGAUGUAAUUUCAAAAACUGUGAUUCCAAUAUUAUUUUAAGAAAUAUAUUACAAAAUCCCGCGAUAGGACAGAUUAUCUCGCGAGAUAGUGGUCACGUCACGCGUUCUUCCGGAAGUUCACAUUCAAACACGAGGAGCGAUUACGAGGGAGUUUUGUCUAUAUAUUAUGCAAAAUCUACUGUUGGAAAAAGUAGAACCUCAUCCAAAUAAAAAUAAACAAGCUGUUAAAGGCACUGUGUCCUACACAGACCCUUCAAAAUAUAACCACCCAAAACCCAAGUCAGUUGAAGAUCAACACAAACCAAAUAAAGAUGCGCAUUCUACAAACAAUAACAAAAGAUCAAGUUUUGUGUGCAACACACUUGGAUGAGACGUGCCCGAUCCCUGACUUUGUCUACCCUACAUUAAGUUGCACACUUCAUGACAGUAAACAUCGGUAUCAAGAUGGUGUGAUUGAUCUAUACCCUGGCCUAGAAUAAGCUGUGACACUAUGAGACGGUCACAUAAUGAACAGCCAUCUUACAGACAACCGAAAGAGGCAUA